rnacentral:lncRNA from 1 species
CUUUUUCUUUCUUUCUUUUUUUUUUUUUUUAAGAAGCAACUGACUGCUUAAGAGAAACUGGGUCUUUCAUGUUACAAGAUGGCAAAAAGCCGGCCUGUGACUCAGAAAGGAUCUCUCCACAAAUGAUUAUAACCUCCACAUAAGUAAAGAACAAUGAACUGGAAGCUUAGGAGUUAAUUCUCUAAUAUACACUCUUUGUUCCAGAAAUACCCCCAAAGGGAUUCAAAAUUACUUUGAAGGGCUUGCAUCUCAUUUUCAAAUGAAUCCGUGUGACCUGUUUGGGCCAAUUUCAACCACACAGAACCCAUGGGGCCUGUUAGAAUCAUCUGGAGCAGAAAAAAAUUUUUUUUCCAACUCAGUUUCAAGUGAAAUUCAAUCUACAUUUAAAAAAGCACAAACAAGAUAUACAGGUUUUAUCCAUCACAGACCACAGGGCACAUCCAUAAAAGUAACCACAAUGGAGAAGGGACUUCAGAGCCCUCCUGGGUCUCCAAGAGAUGAAUGCUGCCAAGUCAUAAGUAACUUACCUAUCUUUCUUCUGACCUACAGGCAUGUUAGGGCGUAUGAGAGAUGUCAGGGAAUUCAGGUGUGUAC